GACGGAGGGUGCUAGCGUUGUUCGGAAUGACUGGGCGUAAAGGGCGCGUAGGCGGCUCGUGAAGUCGGGGGUGAAAUCCUGGAGCUCAACUCCAGAACUGCCUUUGAUACUGGGAAUCUCGAGUCCGGGAGAGGUGAGUGGAACUGCGAAUGUAGAGGUGAAAUUCGUAGAUAUUCGCAAGAACACCAGUGGCGAAGGCGGCUCACUGGCCCGGUACUGACGCUGAGGUGCGAAAGCGUGGGGAGCAA
rnacentral:rRNA from 1 species